AACGAACGCUGGCGGCAUGCCUAACACAUGCAAGUCGAACGAGACCUUCGGGUCUAGUGGCGCACGGGUGCGUAACGCGUGGGAACCUGCCCUUAGGUUCGGAAUAACUCCCCGAAAGGGGUGCUAAUACCGGAUAAUGUCUUCGGACCAAAGAUUUAUCGCCUUUGGAUGGGCCCGCGUUGGAUUAGCUAGUUGGUAGGGUAAAAGCCUACCAAGGCGACGAUCCAUAGCUGGUCUGAGAGGAUGAUCAGCCACACUGGGACUGAGACACGGCCCAGACUCCUACGGGAGGCAGCAGUGGGGAAUAUUGGACAAUGGGCGGAAGCCUGAUCCUGCAAUGCCGCGUGAGUGAUGAAGGCCUUAGGGUUGUAAAGCUCUUUUACCCGUGAUGAUAAUGACAGUACCGGGAGAAUAAGCUCCGGCUAACUCCGUG
rnacentral:rRNA from 1 species